GACGAACGCUGGCGGCGUGCUUAACACAUGCAAGUCGAACGAUGAAGCCAAGUUUCGAAGCUUCGGCAGAAACGCAUUUCGGAUUAGUGGCAGAGGGGUGAGUAACGCGUGAGCAACCUACCUCUUACAAAGGGAUCGCCUCGGGAAACCGGGAUUAAUACCAUAUAACGUUGUGAGGAAGCAUUUCGGUGCAUUCCUAGCUUCGGCGGUAAGCGAUGGGCUCGUGUCGCAUUGACCGGAUGGUGCGGUAACGGGUCACCAUAGUGAGGAUGGGUAACCGGACUGUGAGGGUGAACAGUCACACUGGAACUGAGACACGGUCCAGACUCCUACGGGAGGCAGCAAAGGUUAAUAUUGCACAGUGGAGUGAACUCUGAAGCAGCGACGCCGCGAGAGUGAUGAAGGAAUUCGUAACGUAAAACUCUCUUGUAUGGGAAGAAAAGGACGGUACCAGAUGAGAAAGCUCCGGCUAACUACGUG
rnacentral:rRNA from 1 species